rnacentral:rRNA from 1 species
CCUACGGGAGGCAGCAGUGAGGAAUAUUGCGCAAUGGGGGAAACCCUGACGCAGCGACGCCGCGUGAGUGAGGAAGGCCUUCGGGUCGUAAAGCUCUGUCAAGAGGAAAGAAGUGUACAAUGGCUAAUACCUGUUGUAUUUGACGGUACCUCUAAAGGAAGCACCGGCUAACUCCGUGCCAGCAGCCGCGGUAAUACGGAGGGUGCAAGCGUUGUUCGGAAUCACUGGGCGUAAAGGGCGCGUAGGCGGCUUGGUAAGUCAGAUGUGAAAGCCCACGGCUUAACUGUGGAAGUGCAUUUGAAACUGUCAGGCUUGAGUACCAGAGGGGAAAGUGGAAUUCCCGGUGUAGAGGUGAAAUUCGUAGAUAUCGGGAGGAAUACCGGUGGCGAAGGCGACUUUCUGGCUGGAUACUGACGCUGAGGCGCGAAAGCGUGGGGAGCAAACAGGAUUAGAUACCCUUGUAGUC